rnacentral:rRNA from 1 species
ACUCCUACGGGAGGCAGCAGUAGGGAAUCUUCCACAAUGGACGAAAGUACUGAUGGAGCAACGCCGCGUGAGUGAAGAAGGGUUUCGGCUCGUAAAACUCUGUUGUUAAAGAAGAACAUAUCUGAGAGUAACUGUUCAGGUAUUGACGGUAUUUAACCAGAAAGCCACGGCUAACUACGUGCCAGCAGCCGCGGUAAUACGUAGGUGGCAAGCGUUGUCCGGAUUUAUUGGGGCGUAAAGCGAGCGCAGGCGGUUUUUAAGUCUGAUGUGAAAGCCUUCGGCUCAACCGAAGAAGUGCAUCGGAAACUGGGAAACUUGAGUGCAGAAGAGGACAGUGGAACUCCAUGUGUAGCGGUGAAAUGCGUAGAUAUAUGGAAGAACACCAGUGGCGAAGGCGGCUGUCUGGUCUGUAACUGACGCUGAGGCUCGAAAGUAUGGGGUAGCAAACAGGAUUAGAUACCCUGGUAGGAUAGCG